AACGAACGUUAGCGGCGCGCCUAACACAUGCAAGUCGAACGCGAGAGGGGCAACUCUCUUGAGUGGCGCACGGGUGAGUAACACGUAGGUAAUCUUCCCCCGAGUGGUGGAUAACUUUCCGAAAGGAGGGCUAAUACAGCAUAAGACCACGGCCUCGAAAGAGGCGGAGGUCAAAGCGGAGGAUGGCAAGACUUCGCGCUUGGGAUGGGCCUGCGGCCCAUCAGGUAGUUGGCGGGGUAACAGCCCACCAGGCCUAAGACGGGUAGCUGGUCUGAGAGGAUGAUCAGCCACACUGGAACUGAGACACGGUCCAGACUCCUACGGGAGGCAGCAGUGGGGAAUCUUGCGCAAUGGACGAAAGUCUGACGCAGCGACGCCGCGUGGGUGAUGAAGGCCUUCGGGUUGUAAAGCCCUGUGGGGAGGGACGAAUAAGUUCCGGUUAAUACCCGGAGCGAUGACGGUACCUCCUUAGCAAGCACCGGCUAACUCUGUGCCAGCCGCCGCUGUAAGAC
rnacentral:rRNA from 1 species